rnacentral:rRNA from 1 species
GCGAACGCUGGCGGCAGGCCUAACACAUGCAAGUCGAACGAACUCUUCGGAGUUAGUGGCGGACGGGUGAGUAACACGUGGGAACGUGCCUUUUGGUUCGGAAUAACUCAGGGAAACUUGUGCUAAUACCGAAUGUGCCCUUCGGGGGAAAGAUUUAUCGCCAUUAGAGCGGCCCGCGUCUGAUUAGCUAGUUGGUGAGGUAACGGCUCACCAAGGCGACGAUCAGUAGCUGGUCUGAGAGGAUGACCAGCCACACUGGGACUGAGACACGGCCCAGACUCCUACGGGAGGCAGCAGUGGGGAAUCUUGCGCAAUGGGCGAAAGCCUGACGCAGCCAUGCCGCGUGACUGAUGAAGGUCUUAGGAUUGUAAAAUUCUUUCACCGGGGACGAUAAUGACGGUACCCGGAGAAGAAGCCCCGGCUAACUUCGUG